UUUUUUUUAUGUACUGAUGAGGUCCAACUGAAUUUUAAUUACUAUGGCCCAAAAUUUAAGUGGAGGGGUUAAAUUCUUUGAUUGAUUAAAUUUUCUGGCCCAAACGAUAAGGCCCAAAUCAAAAAAAGAAUUGGAACCCACCCCCUUUCACUUAUCCGCCCGUCUCUCUCUCUCUCUUCCCAUCCUCUUCUUUCCAAAAUUCCCAAUCCCUAAUUUCCAUCCAAAGAACCCUAGGCUUCCUCUCCAUUCUCGGCCUCUCGGCGGUACGCCGCUACUGGUCGCCGGAGUGCCGUUAUCUCCGGUACACGACCUUCCUCUCCAUUUCCUCAUUUUGAAAAGGAUUCCCCAAUUGCAAGGGAGAACCCUAGCUAAAUUUCCAAGUCGAGAUGGGGCUCGAUUGAAAGUAGGGAGCAGCGAUGUGUGACGAGACCGCUGUUGUCUCGCUUCCUCCGACGCGGCUUCCCCCACCUUCGCGCUCCUUCCGUCGCUCACGGUUCGUUGUAUCCUUCGCGACGACAUUGGUGUUCGGACGCGACAUCACCGCCACCGCCAGCCGUCAAGGACGAGCAGCCGUCUCGCUGCUGCCGUUGCCGACUCCUCAGCGGGUCUGCAGAGCUGCCGCCUUGUCUCCGGCGUCUUGAUGAACAGGGCUGUCCUCUGCGGCGUUGCUCGGCCCGAACUCUCUCCGCCGUCGCGCCUGCAACUGCCUGGCGGCUUGCGGGGUUCUGCCGACACUUAAUCAUCGUCCGCAGCCUCGACUAAUAAGCUAAGUUUUCCCUCUAGUUCGUAGCUUAUUUCGUGGUUUCUACACGGCAGUAGCUACUCGACAUUUGGGAGUGUUGGUGUUUAUUGUUGAAUUGAUGUUUACUGCACUAUCUUGUGUGAGAUUGAGUUAUUAAUCUAGGCAGCCCAUCAUGCUAUGACAUACUUGAUUGAGCAUCUUUACCGUUAGAAGCUUAUCCUAUGUUUUGUUAUUAUUCCGGAUCUAAGGCAUGCUCCUAAGUUCUUGAUCUAUACAUAUGAUGCCUUAAUUGUGUUUAAGGGGAUUACCUCCUGUGAAUGUGUUGGGUUGCAGCUGUCGGUCUCCGGCUAUGCUUACAAACCGAGCUCUCUGCUUGCAAUCUGAUCCCCUUCACUCUUACUUGCUAUCUAACUGAAUGGAGGGUGUUGUGGUGUGGUAUAUUGUAACCGAGGGCUUAGCAUGUGUAUAUAUAUACAUAUCUUGUAACUGAAAGCUGCUAAGUUUGUUGCUUGGCUGGAAAGGAGUCCUUAGGCUGUGAAAGCCGGCUGCCCUUUCUGCAGCUUUGCAGAGUAUAUACUCUGAAUCUCUGAUGACUCUGUAACAGGAUUUUGGUGGCUUAUGGGGUGUACUCGUGAGUUUACAGUGGCUGCUGAGUUCAUUAUAGGUUCUGCCUCCUGUGGCAGGUGCACCACUGAAUAGAAGGGGUUUGUAACUCCUAUCCUCGGCAAUGGCAGCUGUGAGGGGGUACCAAACUGCCGGAUGCAGCCUUGCAGGGAUCCUGCAGCUGCUGGAUGGGUUAUGCCGGCUGGACUUCCCUUUUCCAGCCCAUCUUUCUCUCAUUUUUCUGAAAGGUAUUGGCAGCGCCCAAGGCUAGCUGCCGAGGUUGCUUCCCUCGUGGUGUCGCCCUCUCGGGCUUUCUGGAAUCUGGGCCGAGACAUCCCGGUGACGAAGGCCAACGUAGUUGUUAGGAAUUUCCAAAUGUAAUAGUGUAGCUCGUUUUUCAUGUAGACAAGUUUCUGUAAUAUUUAAUGUGUAUUCCGUUUUCUUUGUUUUCUUUGUCAACAUCUGUAAUUUAAGACUUGGCUCGAUAUACCAAAUGUUGUGUUUUGUAUACUCAAGGACAUAAAUAAAUACUCUUUCUUUUUCUUUA